UAUUACCUACCUUUCACCUUUCUAUCCUUUUGCCUUUGUAUAUAUCUACCAAUUCACACACAGACACACAGAGGUAAUCAUGUAUUUUUUUUUAUGCAUUAGAAAUUUGUUUGCCCUGUGGUGUUCUUUUAAUUUUUUCUGUAGAAGACAGCCAAGUCCGUUCUUUGGAUAUAACUUAUGUGUUUGCCUUGAGAUGCUCAUUUAGGCCUGUUUCUUAACGAUAGAUUGUGACUACUAGAGAAGGAAAUUAAUAGGCGAACAAAAACAUUGACUUAUAUUUGGCAUUCUAGUCGGUUUUUUCUCUGCAUUAGAAUGGUUGUGCUACUAGACUGCCUUGUUCGAGUGAAACAUAUAUUGUCCUUGAAUAUUCCAAGAGUUUCUGCUGUAGUGUUGAUCAUGUUGCUUGCAGGUAUGUGAGUUACAAUAUAACUGUCAUCAGGUCCUGCUGCAUCUAUUUUUAAACUCUUUUGUUCUUCCUGCAAUAACUGUGAACGAGUCUUGUAUUUUGAGCAGGAGCCAGACUCUCUUGGAUGUCUGCUGGAACUAACAUGGAAUGGACAGAAACCAUUGUCAUUAAAUGGGACACCUCGAAAAUUCUUAGAAGAUGGGGAUGAAGUAAUCUUCACCGGUUGCUGCAAGGUACUUUCUCUGCUCCACUUGGGUUCCUAAACCAAGGUGCAAACAUAUUUGAACCUUUGAAACAUUUGAAGUAUUAGAGUAAUCAUGUUUAAGUUUGAAUUCCAUAUAGGGAGAUGGUUACAACGUUGGUUUCGGAACCUGUGCCGGUAAGGUUCUUCCGUCACACGACUGAGGAAACCGUUGUUCGAUGGGGAUAUAAGAGGGAGUACAUGCCACUCACGUUGCCAUUGUUGGUGUUGAAGAAAUCUCACUGGAAAUCCUCAGAGCUGAAAAUGGUGUGUUUGCUGUAUUAUUUAUUGAUUACAAUGUUUAACUUAGUUGUAGCAGUUGAUGGUAUGCUGGAAUUGCUUGAUACUCUCUUCCUCUAAAUCAUGCCCCCUUCUUACCUAUAUUCACAUAGAAGGAAACCAUGGCUGAUUUCAAAUUAAUAUUUAAAUUAAAUUAAUCGAAUUGAAUUAUUAACGCUAACCCCAAUAAAGGUGGUCCGUUCGUCAGAAAGCAAAGUCUGGGUGCCUUUGUUAAACGGGCGAUACUCGGCUCGCUGAUGACGCCACAUAUGCGUAUUAAGACCGUUCAAGAAAACAUAACCGUAACUGACAGCACACGAUAAAGGCUUCC
rnacentral:lncRNA from 1 species